rnacentral:lncRNA from 1 species
GGAAUGAUCCUGACUUGCUGUGUCUUCCAGCCUUUGCAGUCUGGACUACAAUGUGGGAACAAAAACGUUCUCUAAGAAGUUAUCUUUGUAUGUUCCAAGACAGUUCACCACCACCGUGCCAAUAUUUCACUUUGUGAAAAGAGAAAGGAAGUCUCCACUGUGAAGAUCUCCAAGGAUUCUUUCAAAAGGAAGCCUGAUUCUGCGGUGCUGAAUUAUGUGGGGGUCUGUUUUUAAUUCAGGCUCCUACCUUUCAUGGACUUCUCAGAUCAUGUACUCCAGGGAAGAGGAAAAUACAGGAUGCGAUAGGAAGGAACAUCAAUAUCUACCACUUCAGAAAGCAAAGAGCUGGCUGAUGGAGCAGCAUACAUCACUCUCUCCACACCUUCUUCACUGGAUGGAAGAGAAAAAGCAGACUUUGAAUCCUGCUUCCCUUGGGUAUAUUUCAGAAAACUUCCUUUCAGGGCAAAUGCUAACAUGUGACCUACAUCCUGGCAACUGGACACACAUCGUUGCCAACUUGAAUUUGGAAUGAAGCAAUUAUCUAUAGAAACUUCUUUCAGAGAAAUUGAUCUUUAACUAUCUUGGAAGAGAAGCAUCUAAUUCUUUUAGAAAUGACACUUAGUAGGAUGACUUGCACUCUGUGCUGAGUAUAAGGAGCUGGACAGUGGUGUCUCAGAGAAGACACGUGUGGUUCGAAAUUGUACCUCAUUUGAUAGCUUCAGAGUCCCUUCUCUAUGCCAUCCAAAUUACCUUUAAUAAAUAACAUUUUUGGUAUUAAAUUACA